UACAGAGGUCUCAAGCGUUGUUCGGAUUCAUUGGGCGUAAAGGGUGCGUAGGCGGCGAGGUAAGUCGGAUGUGAAAUCUCGGGGCUCAACCCUGAAACUGCAUUCGAUACUGCCUUGCUCGAGGACUCGAGAGGAGAUUGGAAUUCACGGUGUAGCAGUGAAAUGCGUAGAUAUCGUGAGGAAGACCAGUGGCGAAGGCGGAUCUCUGGAGAGUUCCUGACGCUGAGGCACGAAGGCCAGGGGAGCAAACGGG
rnacentral:rRNA from 1 species